GGGUGACCAGUGACAGAGGGAGGGGGUGACACAGUGAGGGAGGUGGUGACUAGUGACAGAGUGAGGGAGGUGGUGACUGUCACUAGUCACUAGUCACCACCUCCCUCACUCUGUCCCUAGUCACCCCUCCCUCUGUCACUAGUCACCCCCUUCCUCACUCUGUCACUAGUCACCCCUUCCCUCCCUAACUCUGUCAACUAGUCACCACUUCCCUCCCUCACUCUGUCACUAGUCACACC